GGUGACUGUGUCAUAUACCGCGAAAUUAACAGCGACUCCGACUUAGGUCUUCAGUCUGAUACCAACUAUGCUCCUGACUGGGCUAACACAUGGAACAAGGAACUAAACAUAAGCGAAUCUAGCACCGACCAUCGUCAUAAGGUUGGUGUUCCUUCAUGCCACACCAACUACGCUUUCAAUUCAUUCAUCCCAAGUACGUCAGCCAAUUGGAAUCACCGUCCCCAAUCUGUCUUAAAAAAUAUCAGAUAAACCGAAGUUCAAAGCUGCUUUAACUAACCUGCUGCUGUCAAAACACACGAAAUUGCAGCACUGUCAUUUUAUUUUUGCUUAGCCCAUUUAUUUAUUUAUUUAUUUAUUUAUUUAUUUAUUUAUUUAUUUAUUUAUUUAUUUAUUUAUUAUUCUCCUGCAGCUGAUUCAGACGAUGACCCUUUCGUUUUGUUUUUCAUAUUUUUUACUCAUUCAAGAUUUUCCGAUUGAUUUGUAACAGCAGACAGCUGUGUGCAGUGAAGGAGCCUGUGCAAGGUGAUAUCUCUAUGCAUACAGUGGGAUAUUUUUAUUUGCUGAGAAAGAAACAAACAACUGGUGAAGCUUGUCUGUGUUCAGUUCAUAAUAAAGUGGUUCACAAGUGUUCCAAAUAAA